GGGUCUCACUUUGUCACCCAGGCUAGAAUGUAGUGGUGCAAUCAUGGCUCACUGCAGCCUUGACCUGACCUCCUGGGCUCAAGUGAUCCUCCCACCUCAGCCUCCUGUACUUUAAUUACUAAAAAUUCUUCAGCGUGGUCCCACCAUUUGUAGUUUUGAAUUAUGUGUCUGAAUGCCACAAUGACCUGCUGGCAUUUCCAAUAGGUCACCUAGACUGGUGAGAUCUGCCAAAACUCCACACAGGGACAGCUGGAGCAAUCAGAGAUGUCAGGAGCAAAGAAGUAGGCGCAUAGGGCUAUUUUGGUGUAGUUUCAAUCUACCACGUGGAAGGAAUAUUAGACACAUUCACUAUGGCUCCAAGCACAACAGUAAGACAAACACAGACAAGCCGCAAGCAGGCAGACAUGUGAGUGGGUCCGCAGAAGAAUGUCCAGCAAACAGUGCCAUGCCACAAUAGGGUGCACGGCUCCCAUUGUGCACCCCACCCCACAGCCUCCAGGAAUUUCUACGUUGAUCAAAACAUUCCAUGAGGGGACUGACUACAAAAGGUCCCAGAGACUUCUCUGGAAUGAUGGAAAUAAUCUAUGCCUUGACUGCACUGGUGGUUACACAACGUAAGUUUGUCAUAAUUCACAGAACUGUACAGAUAUGAGGGGUAAAUUUUACUAUCUGUAAAUUAUUCCUCAAUAAGGAGUAACACAAACAUUUCUGAGCUCUCUUCUUGGGCUUAGUUCUGGACUUUAUUAACUGGCAUCUAACAUCACCAAACAUGAGUCAUAGUUGGCCAGUGACUUGGAGGGGUUCUGAGGACACAGGCCUGUUUCAACACCUCAGUUCAUGGGACUUUGGUGCUAACACCGGGUAAGUCCCAUGAGAUCAUCUGGUUACCCUCAGUGCAUCUUGCCAUUCUGCUACUGCACCUUCCUGUCAGAGUUACAGACCUGACUGCUGUAUGAUGGACCUGACCGCUGCAUGAUGGGGCCCACGCUGACCUUUAGGUCACUAUUUCAAAUAAUCCAUCCGCCAAGAAUGAUUGUGACCUUUGAAAAAGGUGAAGCACGGCGGGGGAAGAUACGGGGCUGACAUGAUUUACACGAACAUACAUCUCCCUUGGACUCACAGCUCACACAUCCUCUUUCAGAAGCCAACUAGGCCUCCUUCUCAAAGCUAUGCAGCCUCACCCCAUUGUCUCUUCUAUCAGAAUGUUUCCCAGAGACUCUACCUGGGAGAUGAAGAGAGAUCACGCCACAGGGCCUGUCCUGUGACCUGUUUUGACCAAGAGAAUACAUCAAAAGUGUUUCUGGGCCUGGUCUGGGCACAGGCUUAAAGUCUGACACCUUCCACUUUCAUGACUGGGGUGUCCUGAGCCAUCAUAUUAGAAGUCCACCUACCUUCCAUCAUAUGUUGAGGACGAGUCUGCAACUAUAUGGAGAGGGGAUUCUCAGCAUUCCAGAUGACCUGCCCACUGAAUGCAGCCGUGUGAAGACCAGCAGAAGAACCGCCCAGCUGAGCCUCAGCCCGGAUCACAGAAUUGUAAACAAAUGACAUGGUUGUUCUUUUAAGCCACUAAAUUCUGGGGCAAUUUAUUAUGCAGCAACAGGUAAUGGAAACACAUUUGCUUCCCCCUGUAGCCACUAUCUGCUGACACUCAGCAGCAGCCACUGUCUUUAGAUGGCAGACACUUUCUAGCUUUCCUAAAUCCUCCCCACUCACUAUUGUCUUAUUUUUUUUAUCAUGGAGAAAAUUCUCCAUAUCUGCAUAGUCCAGUGCAGGAGCCACUAGCUAUGUGUGGCUAUUGAAACGAGUUAAAAUUAAAUAAAAUGAAAAAUUCUGUUCCUCACUUACACUAGCCAUAUUUCAAGUGGUUUGUGACUAGUGGCUACCAUAUUGGACAGCAUGGUCUAUUUCAAACCAUCAUUGCAGUAACUUCUAUCAGCAAUCCCAUUCUUUUUUUUUUUUUUUUUUUUGAGACGGGGUGUUGCUCUGUUGCCCAGGCUGAAGUGCGAUAGUGCCAUCUUGGCUCACCAUUACUUCCACCUCCCAGGUUCAAGUGAUUCUCCCACCUCAGCCUCCCAAGUAGCUGGGAUUACAGGCACCUGCCAUCAUACCCGGCUAAUUUUUAUAUUUUUUAUAGAGAUGGGGUUUUACCACGUUGGCCAGGCUGAUGUUGAACUCCUGAGUUGGGUGAUCUGCCUGCCUUGGCUUCCCAAAGUGCUGGAAUUACAGGCAUGAGCCACCGCGCCCGGCCAGCAACACCAUUCCUAAAAUGUAACGGAUAUAAUUGACUAAUUAGCCAACAUCCAUACUCUUUCUUUUUCCAAACAAUCCUGAUUCUCUUCAGAUAUUUGUCUUCCUCAACCCACCCCUGCCCCCACUAGCUUCCCGUGUAGCUCGGGAGAACCUGACUUCAUCCUUGUUCCCAGAUGGAACUAGCCCACACCAGUACUAGUCUCAUGCCUCUUCAUGGUGACUAGUUCAGGAACGCAGACUCUAACCUUUCAGGACACGAAAUUUCCCUGGUGCCUGUGGUUACUGACCCAGGAGUGGACAAAUGAGGCAAGUUGACCCAGUCAGACUAGAGGCAAGGCCACUCAUUGGCUGACGGUGGGCGAGGCGCAUGCUCCCAAACUGGACAUGAGUUAGGAAGCCUGCAGCUCUAAUAGCUCCUGAUGGCUGUUGACAACCGUGAGAUGAACCAGCUUAGGAUGAGACUGACUUGGGGGAUGGCACAGGAGACUCAGGGAGAAGUGAGAUAGUCUUAACAUUGUUUAAGCCACCGUGUUGGGUUUUCUGUUAUUUGUAUUACUUGUGGCCCCAAGCCACCUAUCAUAAUCCUAUCAAAAACGGAAAAAAUAAAAGAACUGGGAGGCUAGGGCAGGAGAAUCGCUUGAACCCAGGAGGCGGAGGUUGCAGUGAGCCAAGAUCGCACCACUGCAUUCAGCAUGGGCGACAGGGCGAGACUCCGUCUCAAAAAAUAAAAAAUAAUAAUAAUAAAAUAAAAGAACAAGAGAGGCCAGCCUGAUUUUUUUCUCAUGCCUGACCCAUGAGUUUUCUGCCUGGCUCCUGUAAUAAUUGGAUUUGCAGCCCCUGUACUGAGCCCCCCAGUGAUGGUAUAGCUAAAGAAUUGAUGUAAGGUGAUUCCUCCCACUUUAUUGGAUAUGCUUGCAAUAUACUCCUGCCCCAAAAAGUGAUCCUAUGAGGCUCUCCUUUGCAGCUAAAAUUAAUAAAUGACCUAACCCAUACAGUAGGCAUCUAAGGAAUAGGUAGCCGUGUCUUCCAAAAUAACAUUUUUGUCUAUUGGCUGUUCACCUCAAGGGCCCUCUGGGAAAGGGGCAAGGACACUCUUUGCAAAGGUGCUUGUGGUGUGGACUAGACUUGGAAACACAGGGUUCUCCCUUCUCUGGCACCACCUUGUCUCCUGACCCUCACCCAGUGCAGAGCUCGAGUGGGUGUGAUUUGAGGCAGUGAACUGAGAAACCAUCAGAGACAGGACAUUCAGGGGACUGCCUGACUCCUCUGGCUGUUUCAUGACAUACCUGCUGUAGUUUCACAUCUCUGUUCAGUUGCUCACUCCUCACUGCCUCUCCUUACUCACAGUUUCAGCUUCCUCAAAACUUCGGGUUAGAAGCAGCCGUCAGAGCCUUUCUGUGCCAUCCGUACUCACUCAUUCACUGAACAAACAACUGCUGAACACCUGCCCCCUGAGUCAUGACAGCUCAGCCUCAGCUCAGCUCAGCCUCAGCACUCACGGCAAGUGCUUCAGCUUCUCCGAUUUCCAAGGUCCCCAGGGAGGGACUCUGAUAGCCCCCCCCAACCCAUCUUCGUGCAUCAGGCCACAGCAUAAGUCAUUGGCCGUAGUGCAGCCACAGGCCAUGCCAUACAUCUUUUGAAUCUCCUUGGGUACAGAGAGUUGCCAUAAAUUCUAUUUACUUCAAGGAGUCACUGUUGCAACCAUUCUUUCUGGCUACAAAUAAUCUUGAUAGAAGCAGAAGGUAUAAAAAGUGAAAUCAAUAAAAAUACAGGCAACCAACAGAAUAGAAUCAGGUGUUAAAUCCUUGAUCCUAAACCAAAGCCACACUAAUCUACUUUUAGUGUGAACUAAUUCAGCUCCCAGAAUAGCUUGCGUUUAUUUUAACAGAGGAUGUGAGAGUGUACGGUCAGGGAGCUGGUUUUGAUUUGACUUGUUUCAGGCACUCAUUUUAUUUGACCCUUGCGAGUAGCAACGCCUCUUUCUUGGGUACUUUUCCAUCUGUGUUUAAAAAACUCCCAGGACGAAGUGAGGAGCGCCUCUGCCUGGCCGCCCCGUCUGGGAAGUGAGGAGCGCCACUGCCCGGCCGCCCCGUCUGGGAAGUGAGGAGCGCCUCUGCCUGGCCAUUGUGCAACCUUCCAAGUGUGAAGUGACAGCCUUCGUUGUAGAAUGAAUGAAGACACUGGCUCUGAUUAUAUAACACCUUGGCAGCUAUCUGAAGUCGUUGAUGGUGGAGGUAUUGGAAUUAUAGAAGAAAGCAAACUCACAAAUUUGACUGAAGGCGAUUUUGUGACUUCUUUCUAUUGGCCCUGGCAAACCAAGGUUAUUCUGGAUGGAAAUAGCCUUGAAAAGGUGAUAUAUAUAUGAACGUAUCUGAUUUUUUCCCCAUAUAAUUCUUACUUUGUGCAUUUGAUAUUCAGUUGUGUUUGUAAUCACGGAAAAAUAAAAGCAUAUAUUAAAAAAAAACCCCAAGACAUUUGCAAAAGUUGGGCUUCGCCAAUAGAAGCAGGGAGGUGAAGAGAGAGUGAGAGAGUAAGUGAAAGAAAAUGAACUUCUGCUUCCUUCUAUUACAAGAAGCGCAAGAUGGUGUGACCACAACUAAGAUCCUAUUUUAACCACCACUUUCACAAUUCCUUGUAAGCAACCUUAGCCUAAACUGUAAUCAUAUAAUCAUUCGUUGGUAAUUAUAAGUGUAUUUGUUUUCUAGAUGAGGCCUUACAGGAAACAUCAAGGAAGAUGAAUACAAAGAACAAGAACAGAAGCACUAAUACAAAAUAACUGAUUGUAUGAAGUGAAAUCAGCCAGGCACAGAGAGAUACAUACCAUAUGCUCUCACUCAUAUAUAGAAGCUAAAAAAGUUGAUCUCAUACAAGUACAUGUUUCAAAAUCCUACCUUAUGCCCUAUAAUUAUGAACAAUUAUUAUGUCAAUUAAAAAUAAUAAUGAGGCCAGGCAUGGUGGUUCACGCCUGUAAUCCCAGCACUUUGGGAGGCCAAGGCCAGUAGAUCACCUGAGGUCAGGAGUUCACGACCAGCCUGGACAACAUGGCGAAACUCUGUCUCUACUAAAAAUACAAAAAUUUAGCCAGCCAUGGUGGCAGGUGCCUGUAAUACCAGCUACUCUGGAGGCUGAGGCAGGAGAAUAUCUUGAACCCGGGAGGCCGAGGUUGCAGUAAGCCGAGAUCGCACCAUUGCACUCCAGCCUGGGCAACAAGAGUGAAACUCCAUCUCAAAAAUAAUAAUAAUAAUAAUGAAAGCCUGCCUGGCACGGUGGCUCACGCCUGUAAUCCCAGCACUUUGGAAGGCCAAGCUGGGCAGAUCACUUGAGGUCAGGAGUUCCAGACCAGCCUGGCCAACGUGGUGAAAUCCUGUCUCUACUAAAAAUACAAAACUCAACCGGGCAUGGUGGCAGGUGCUUGUAAUCCCAGCUACUAAGUAGGCUGAGGCCAGAGAAAUGCUUGAACCUGUGGAGGUUGCAGUGAGCUGAGAUUAUGCCACUGCACUACAGCCUGGGCAAGAGAGCGAGACUCCAUCUCAAAUAAAUAAAUAAAUAAUAAAAGCAAAAAAGAAAAA